AUGACAAUGUUAGUUCACUGAGGUAGAUACACACGAAUAUCAGUAAGAGUUAUAAAUGCAUUUCACACGGAUUUCAGUAGCUAUACUGUAAAACGUAUGAAUUGAAAACUGAUCUCAAUAUAACUUAAACUUGUAAAGUAAAUUCAUUCUCAGCUGAACUUCAUAUGAAUUUUUUUUCUUGAGUUCUCUGUUCUCCGAUCUUCGACGACUCACCCGUCUUCAGAUCUUGGUCUCCUCUUCCAAGAGUUCAGACAGCAACUUCAGAUCUUGUUGCUUCUACCAAGGUACUGGUGAUUUACUCUGGAUUCUUCAAGAUUAGUUAGUUCAUGAGAACCAUACCAUGAAGCUGACUAUCCUCUUCAAAUUCAACCAUGUCUACCUCACACAGUGUUCUGGGCUAUUCCCAAAUAAGCUAAGGCAACUACGCUGAGAAAGGAAACAGAGAUUCGUUCCUGAAAUGAAGAAUUAGAUAUGCAGUACUUGGAAAUUGUGCAAGAGAAUGCGAAGACGGUGGAGGACAGGGAGUAAUGCUUGGUAACUCUAGAAGGAUUUUCUUAAGUUUUAGAAUUGCAUCUUGGAAUUCCAAAGUUAAUUUGUUGAAUUUGGAAUGAGAAAGAACAGAUCUGGAUC